CUUUUUUAAAGACUUUAUGAUCCAUUUGCCGUGGGUCCCACCAGCUAUGUACGAAUACCCUAUCUUCUUUAUAAGAGCUUUGAUACAUGCAAAAUAUAUGAAAAAAACGUCCGAACAUAUAAUUUUCCCCCCGUAAUAUAGCAAAGAUCACGAAAAGGCUCGAAAAAUUACAUUUAGUUCAAAAUUUGGAGUAGAAAAACCCCAAUAGAAGAAUUCCAUUUUACUUCCUUAGUCAUCGGAGAGCUCUCUUUGGGCUUUCCGAAAAGGUAUCACAUGCCAAGUUUGGCCUCACGGUCUAAAAGUUAUAGAGUCAUACAUUUUUAACAAAACAUAAUAGAGAAAAACGGGAAAAAGAGGGAUGUAACACGAGGACUUUCCGGGAGGUCACCCAUCCUAGUACUACUCUUGCCCAAGCACCCUUAACUGCGGAGUUCUGAUGGGAUCCGGUGCAUUAGUGUUGGUAUGAUCGCAUGUGUUACUACAUGCAAUGUAAUCGUAUCUAUUCUUUUUAAAGACUUUAUGAUCCAUUUGCCGUGGGUCCCACCAGCUAUGUAGGAAUACCCUAUCUUCUUUAUAAGAGCUUUGAUACAUGCAAAAUAUUGGAAAACAAUGUCCGAACAUAUUAUUUUCCCCCCGUAAUAUAGCAAAGAUCACGAAAAGGCCCGAAAAUGUACAUUAAGUUCAAAAUUUGGAGUAGAAAAAAAAAACAAUAGAAGAAUUCCAUUUUCCUUCCUCAUUCAUCGGAGAGCUCUCUUUGGGCUUUCCGAAAAGGUAUAACAUUCCAAGUUUGGCCUCAUGGUCUCAAAGUUAUAAAGUCAUACAUUUUUCACAA
rnacentral:sRNA from 1 species